CUUGCAGCUCCAACCUAUGGGCAUAACCCUAGGACUACCAACUCGACUACCCCAAAGCUCUCUUAAUUACUGAAAAUGACCCACCGAUACGCCCUAGCCUUCUAUCUUAAUUCGCUUCUUCCAGGCCUUCCUAUCAAGGGUCAUGUCCUCAGUAAGCUGUAACUACUCCAUGUUACAUCUAAUCACCUCUCUCCAAUAUUUUUUACACCUACCC
rnacentral:lncRNA from 1 species